rnacentral:rRNA from 1 species
UACGUAGGGCGCGAGCGUUGUCCGGAUUUAUUGGGCGUAAAGAGCUCGUAGGCGGCUCGUUGCGUCAACCGUGAAAUCCCGGGGCUUAACUUCGGGCUUGCGGUUGAUACGGGCGGGCUGGAGUUCGGUAGGGGAGACUGGAAUUCCUGGUGUAGCGGUGAAAUGCGUAGAUAUCAGGAGGAACACCGGUGGCGAAGGCGGGUCUCUGGGCCGAUACUGACGCUGAGGAGCGAAAGCGUGGGGAGCGAACAGG